rnacentral:rRNA from 1 species
UACGGGGGGAGCAAGCGUUGUUCGGAUUUACUGGGCGUAAAGGGCGCGUAGGCGGUCAGCACAAGUCAGUUGUGAAAUCUCCGGGCUUAACUCGGAAAGGUCAACUGAUACUGUGCGACUAGAGUGCAGAAGGGGCAACUGGAAUUCUCGGUGUAGCGGUGAAAUGCGUUGAUAUCGACAGGAACGCCGGUGGCGAAAGCGGACCGCUGGCCCUCUUCUGACGCUGAGGCGCGAAAGCCAGGGGAGCGAACGGG